GUUCCAUUAGCAUAGAGGUAAGUGCACCCGGCUUUCUACCGGACGACAAGGGUUCGAUUCCCUUAUGGAAUACAA
rnacentral:tRNA from 1 species